rnacentral:rRNA from 1 species
AGCGAACGCUGGCGGCAGGCCUAACACAUGCAAGUCGAACGAACCUUUCGGGGUUAGUGGCGGACGGGUGAGUAACACGUGGGAACGUGCCUUUAGGUUCGGAAUAACUCAGGGAAACUUGUGCUAAUACCGAAUGUGCCCUUCGGGGGGAAGAUUUAUCGCCUUUAGAGCGGCCCGCGUCUGAUUAGCUAGUUGGUUGAGGUAAUGGCUCACCAAGGCGACGAUCAGUAGCUGGUCUGAGAGGAUGAUCAGCCACAUUGGGACUGAGACACGGCCCAAACUCCUACGCGAAGCAGCAGUGGGUAAUCUUGCGCAAUGGGCGAAAGCCUGACGCAGCCAUGCCGCGUGAAUGAUGAAGGUCUUAGGAUUGUAAAAUUCUUUCACCGGGGACGAUAAUGACGGUACCCGGAGAAGAAGCCCCGGCUAACUUCGUG